ACCUGGGUGGCUCAGUGGUUGAGCAUCUGCCUUUGGAUCAGGGCAUGAUCCUGGAGUCGUGGGAUCGAGUCCCACAUUGGGCU
rnacentral:tRNA from 1 species